GGUGAACGCUAGCGGUGCGCCUAACACAUGCAAGUCGAGCGGUAGAAACUUUUAGCUUGCUAAAAGUUUUGAGAGCGGCGAACGGGUGAGUAACACGUUGGAAUCUGCCCCCAAGUCAGGGAUAGCCAUUCGAAAGGAUGAUUAAUACCGGAUAGUCUCUACGGAGUAAAAAUUUAUUGCUUGGGGAGGAGCCUGCGUUCUAUCAGCUUGUUGGUGAGGUAAAAGCUCACCAAGGCUAUGACGGAUAGCUGGUCUGAGAGGAUGAUCAGCCACAAUGGAACUGAGACACGGUCCAU
rnacentral:rRNA from 1 species